ACAUAAGAAAACUCCACCAAUAAAUCAAUCAACUUUUAAAAGUCAUGCUUGCUGAUUGAAAUGGUGGAGCAAUCUUAUUAAAUAGGCAUAUACGCGUGCUGUGAGAAAAUAAGAAAAAAAGUUGUAAAUUCUCAGCAAAUAGGAACAGAGGAAAAAAAACAAAAACAUAAAAAGCGGUAACUUCUCUACACAUCAUAACUUCUGUUGUCAUAAUCAUGAAGUAAUGUUAUGUUGCAUGGCAUUCGGACUUCAGGACAUCACGCUAACUAAUUGGUUUUUUGAAAUUCAAAAAAGAAAAAGGAAGCAAUUGCAGUGGACACUUGCAGAAAAAGAGGACGCAUUCUACAUAUUUCCAAGAGAGUUGAAAGAGGCAAGCAUGGGGGGCGCGAAAAAGGUACAGCAUGUUCUUGUAGUUACAAGCAAAGUAAGGACAACAAGCAAUGUAAGUAAGAAAUUGACAAAAAGGAAGAGAAUUCUCAAAUUCAAUGAUUACAGAUCUGGAGGUGUGAAAAAGGAAGAAAAUCCAAAGUAGCACAGAAAAUCAAUAAUUAGAAAGAAGAAUGGCAAUAACCAACUCAGAUAUAAACAUUGACUCAUAAUUGAGAGCCAGUCAGAAUCCACAUAAAAAUUUUAGAAUGAGAAUAAAUGAUACCAGAAUCAAACUUGACAGCAAAGAAGAUACUAUACAUAACCACGCAUGCGAAUAUUAAUGUCAUGAAUAUGGACCGUAAGCAGACAAAAGAUUCAAACUUUACAACUAGACAUGCACAUGAGAGUUGACAAAAUGAACACUAGCAGAAUGAAUGGUUCCAUUAAACACCAACACAUCAGAGCUGCCUGCCACAAAUCUAUCAUCUCAUAUUCAACAUGAGAGACUUCAGAAGUAAAAAAAAAAUCCAGAAAGAAAAAAAAAUGAAAAAUGAAAAGGGAAGACCCAGAUUGAAAAUCAAUAACUAGAUCAAUCUCAUUACGCAUUAACAUCACAAAAGAAGAGUUUUUGAAUCAUAUCUGUUAAUUAACAAGAAACGCUAAGCAAACAAACUUAGAUUUCAAAUUAACAUCUAUACUAGAUCACAGUAC